UGAGGAGAGAAGGCAGUCACCAGGUCCAGGAUCUCACUAUUUGGUCGCCUUUGGCCUAUCUGGAUUUCUGUCCGGUAUCUUUGAUUCUAGUUCUAAAAAUUUUACCUGAUCUCCCCCAAACCAUUGAAGACAGUUUAUAAUUGGCUAUGGGCACUUUCUGAACUCAAAUAUAUUUCCACCAUACUCUACAUGGAAGACCUUUGAUGUUUGAGAUUCAUUUAAUAGUACCACACAUCAAAUACGGUUAUCACUAAUAAUAAACUUUAUGGUUACACGGGACCCACCCGAAACAGUACCCAUAG